UGGGGAAUAUUGGACAAUGGCCGAAAGCCUGAUCCAGCCAUGCCGCGUGUGUGAAGAAGGUCUUCGGAUUGUAAAGCACUUUAAGUUGGGAGGAAGGGCAUUAACCUAAUACGUUAGUGUUUUGACGUUACCGACAGAAUAAGCACCGGCUAACUCUGUGCCAGCAGCCGCGGUAAUACAGAGGGUGCAAGCGUUAAUCGGAAUUACUGGGCGUAAAGCGCGCGUAGGUGGUUUGUUAAGUUGGAUGUGAAAUCCCCGGGCUCAACCUGGGAACUGCAUUCAAAACUGACUGACUAGAGUAUGGUAGAGGGUGGUGGAAUUUCCUGUGUAGCGGUGAAAUGCGUAGAUAUAGGAAGGAACACCAGUGGCGAAGGCGACCACCUGGACUAAUACUGACACUGAGGUGCGAAAGCGUGGGGAGCAAACA
rnacentral:rRNA from 1 species